AGAGCAGGUUGCAAUAAAAGUGCUUCGCUUUAUGGAAGUACGGCCAUUAUCCUGAUGCAAGAAAAGUUAUGUAGUGUACCUUUCAUUUUGCCUACUGGGGGGCAAGUCAUGGCAGAUUGGCAUGAUGGCUU
rnacentral:snoRNA from 1 species